AUAGUACUCCCUCUGUCCGAAAAUACUUGUCAUCAAAAUGGAUAAAGGGGAUGUAUUUAGAACUAAAAUACAUCUAGAUACAUCCCCUUUUAUUCAUUUUGAUGACAAGUAUUUCUAGACGGAGGGAGUAGUAU
rnacentral:pre_miRNA from 1 species